rnacentral:rRNA from 1 species
GACGAACGCUGGCGGCGUGCUUAACACAUGCAAGUCGAACGGAAAGGCCCUGCUUUUGUGGGGUGCUCGAGUGGCGAACGGGUGAGUAACACGUGAGUAACCUGCCCUUGACUUUGGGAUAACUUCAGGAAACUGGGGCUAAUACCGGAUAGGAGCUCCUGCUGCAUGGUGGGGGUUGGAAAGUUUCGGCGGUUGGGGAUGGACUCGCGGCUUAUCAGCUUGUUGGUGGGGUAGUGGCUUACCAAGGCUUUGACGGGUAGCCGGCCUGAGAGGGUGACCGGCCACAUUGGGACUGAGAUACGGCCCAGACUCCUACGGGAGGCAGCAGUGGGGAAUAUUGCACAAUGGGCGGAAGCCUGAUGCAGCAGCGCCGCGUGCGGGAUGACGGCCUUCGGGUUGUAGACCGCUUUCGCCUGUGACGAAGCGUGAGUGACGGUAAUGGGUAAAGAAGCACCGGCUAACUACGUG